AUACGGAGGGAGCGAGCGUUAAUCGGAAUUACUGGGCGUAAAGCGCGCGUAGGUGGCCAUGUAAGUCGGAUGUGAAAGCCCUGGGCUCAACCUGGGAAUUGCAUUUGAUACUGGUUGUCUAGAGUGUGGUAGAGGGAAGUGGAAUUUCCGGUGUAGCGGUGAAAUGCGUAGAUAUCGGAAGGAACACCAGUGGCGAAGGCGGCUUCCUGGACCAAGACUGACACUGAGGCACGAAAGCGUGGGGAGCAAACAGGAUUAGAAACCCCGGUAGUCC
rnacentral:rRNA from 1 species